AAUGCCCUGCUGUGUACGUGAUGUCGAUUCUACGUUUUGAGCCAACACCUACUAAACGGGAAGCGAUAUAUCGCCGGAAGACACGAUAGCCCUCGGUUCACCGGGAUAGGCAAGGUGAAAGCCGGUAAUGAGCUAGCCCACCUGCGAAAGCAGGUUCAAAACCCGAAGACACACGGCACGGCGGGGAAUCC
rnacentral:other from 1 species